CCAACCGUGUAUAUUUUUUUGGGAAUUAUUUAAUCCUAUUUUUUCCUGGAAAUUGACUUCUGCGUUCACACUGACAAAAGGGCUAUUCAGUAAAUUAUGCAAUAACGUGUAUCAACUAAUCCCACAAAAAUCGGUGGUGAAUAAUUGCUCCAAAAUUUCCGUUGGUUUCAUUUUACAUUUUUUUCCUUAUUCAUUUGCAAUUAGAGUUUUCUUCCUUUUCAUUUUAUUCCCUUCAACGGCGAAAUACAAAGGCGGAACAAGCGGCUUCUUCAGAUUUGGUCGAGCGGUGAAGACGAAGAUCGUCGUGGUAAACAAGCGGCAUGAAAGGAGUGGAUCUCAUUUAAAAAGAGGUGAAAAUAGUGAGUUCAUCGAAAACAUGGAGGUUUGUUGUUAUUAGUGUUGUAUUUCUUUGUUGUUUAAAGUUCUGAUUUUUUUCCGAUUCUAUGCAAAUAGAUGUGGAAAAAGAAUUCUCUUUUUGUUGGCUUUGUUUUUUUAUGAGAAUGUAUUUUUUCUUUUGUUUUCUGAUUUUGUACUGUAUGUUGCAUUUGUUUUUCGAUUCUUUGCAAAUAGGUGUGAAGAAUGAAUUCUAUUUAUCUUGUUUUUGUUUUUGUACCAGAAAUUUUCCCUUUCUUCUUUCUUAUGCAAUUUCCUCUAGGAUUUUGAAUAAUCUCAUCAUCAACUUGUUGAAGAAGACUUCAGAACUUGGUUCUCUAUGGAAAAGGUGUUGGAUUAAUUUUGUGGUUUAGCUGCUAGAGACCUAGCUUUGGAAAAAGAUGUGAUUCUCCUUCUGGUUUCGGUUCUUUUCCUUUAUUUGUUGUAAACGCUCUUCUCUUUGGGGUAAUUGGUACUACUGGUACCAAAGAUCCUUUUAUUAAAGUGCCUUUUUUCCUGAUAAAAAAAGCUUGUUGAAGAAGAAGGUGAACUUGCUGAACAAGCGGCAAAAUACGAAGGUUCCAAAGAACAUUAUAAGUUUUUUUGUUUUUCAGAACCUGGUUCAGGCAAAAUCCGAUGCAUCACGUACGGCUGGAAAAUGUAAAAUAAGGGUAAAAAAAACUGAUCGAAGAUGUGUUAUUUGACAGUAGUUUUUUAAUAUUUAGCUAAACAUAUGUAUUAUGCAUUAGAAAAUAAAUUUAUUCAUUCGACAUCUUUUUCUUAUGUAUUAUACAUUCGACAUCGCUUAGUCGAUCCUAGCAUUAGGUCAUUGACCGACAUUAGUUUGUUGUAUAUUUAUUCAUUACUGUAAUCGUUAUUUAUAAUUGUAAUCACAUAUACAUAAAUUUUUUUUAUCUAUAUUCACUACAUGUUAUGUUUUAUU